CUCGCUCAGUGCCAGCCGGAUAGCUCCUGGGGUCAGCGAAACGUUAGCUGCAAGCCGGGACAAUCCUCUGCGAACGAGGAGUGGGCAGUAACCCAAGAUGGCACCUCCUGUCUGUACUGGAGCGCUGGCAGCCUAACUUCCUGCUGGAGAGGCCAUGACCUGCUUGCAUCUGUUCCCGUAGCACGGCCUUGUGCUGAAAACACAAAACCAGAAGAAUGCAACUGCAAAUGCAGAAGAAAGAGUCUCGGUGCCAAAUUCAGAGCCUUGAAGUUUCCUCCAGAUGCUCCCGUUUCCUCCCACAUGCAAAGACAUAUUGGGAGGUUGCUCCCAGUGCUUGCCUGGACAGGAUCUGCCUUCCUGCAGCCCUUCAUUGGAAGGAGUGGUUAGAAAAUGGAUGGAUGGAACACAGUCUGAGGUGUGAUCUCAGCAGACGUUAGGCCUGCAGUGCAAAUGCUGUGAUAUGCCAUAAUAGAAGGUUUAAGGACUCAUAGAUAAA